rnacentral:rRNA from 1 species
AGAGUUUGAUCCUGGCUCAAGAUGAACGCUGGCGGCGUGCCUAACACAUGCAAGUCGAACGGUCUCUUUCGGGAGACAGUGGCGCACGGGUGAGGAACACGUAGCUUAUCUGCCCUCGCGUGCGGGAUAACGCCUCGAAAGAGGUGCUAAGACCGCAUAAGCCCCCGCUCUGUAGAGGAGUGGGUGAAAAGCGCAAGCGCGCGAGGAGGAGGCUGCGGCCCAUCAGGUAGUUGGCGGGGUAACGGCCCACCAAGCCGACGACGGGUAGGGGGUCUGAGAGGAUGAUCCCCCACACUGGGACUGAGACACGGCCCAGACUCCUACGGGAGGCAGCAGUGAGGGAUAUUGCACAAUGGGGGCAACCCUGAUGCAGCGACGCCGCGUGGGUGAUGAAGGCCUUCGGGUCGUAAAGCCCUUUUGCAGGUGACGAGGAAGGACGGUAGCCUGCGAAGAAGUGUCGACUAACUACGUGCCAGCCGCCGCGGUAAUAC